CUCUAUGGUCAGACCACCCUGAACAUGCCGAUCUCGUCUGAUCUCGAAGCUAAGCUGGGUUGGGCCUGGUUAGUAGUUAGAUGGGAGAAAGAGACCUACAUGCUUAAAUCUGAGAUCUGAAUGU
rnacentral:rRNA from 1 species